GCCAUCUCUCCAGAAUCUUUAGGUCCAGCUGGAUCUUAGAAGGCAUCAGGCAGCAACUCUUGAGCUGCAUAUAUGGUCGCCAGGGAUGGAGUCCUGCUCAUUGCCCCUCCCACCAGUUGUUACCCUUGCCCAUGACCUCACAAUCAUCUUGCCUCAGUCUACUGGGUGAUAGGAUUGAGGUGUGUGACAUCUUGCUCAGUCAAUAGACACAGUUUUGGAAACACCCUGCCAAUCUUUCUUUUGACUAACGUGUGCUGAGUCUGUUCUCAUGUAAUAGGCCAGAAGAGGGUGUCAGAUCCCAUGGAACUGGAGUUAGGGGCAGCUGUGAACCAUCAUGUGAGUUCUAGGAAGUGAACCCAGGUCCAGAGAAGCAGGCUGAGAUGAAAGGCGUACAUCAGCAUGCUUGGCCAAAUGCAUGCAGCAACACCUGAGAACCUAUCCCAUGGAGUUGGACAUGGCGGUGCACACCUUCAGUCCCGGCAUUCAGGAGGCAGAGGUAGGUGGAUCUCUACAGUUGGGGUCUACAUAGUGAGUUGAAAGAUAGCCAGGGUAUGCAGAAAGAUUCUGUCUUUAAAAGGAAGAAAGGAGGAGGGGGGAAGAAGAAGGAGAAGGAGGAGAAGGAGAAUAAGGAGGA